rnacentral:rRNA from 1 species
UACGGGGGGGGGCAAGCGUUGUUCGGAAUUACUGGGCGUAAAGGGCUCGUAGGUGGCCAACUAAGUCAGACGUGAAAUCCCCUCGGCUUAACCGGGGAACUGCGUCUGAUACUGGAUGGCUUGAGUUCGGGAGAGGGAUGCGGAAUUCCAGGUGUAGCGGUGAAAUGCGUAGAUAUCUGGAGGAACACCGGUGGCGAAGGCGGCAUCCUGGACCGACACUGACGCUGAGGAGCGAAAGCCAGGGGAGCAAACGGG